UUGAACGCUGGCGGCAGGCCUAACACAUGCCAGUCGAGCGGAUGAAGGGAGCUUGCUCCUGGAUUCAGCGGCGGACGGGUGAGUAAUGCCUAGGAAUCUGCCUGGUAGUGGGGGAUAACGUCCGGAAACGGGCGCUAAUACCGCAUACGUCCUGAGGGAGAAAGUGGGGGAUCUUCGGACCUCACGCUAUCAGAUGAGCCUAGGUCGGAUUAGCUAGUUGGUGGGGUAAAGGCCUACCAAGGCGACGAUCCGUAACUGGUCUGAGAGGAUGAUCAGUCACACUGGAACUGAGACACGGUCCAGACUCCUACGGGAGGCAGCAGUGGGGAAUAUUGGACAAUGGGCGAAAGCCUGAUCCAGCCAUGCCGCGUGUGUGAAGAAGGUCUUCGGAUUGUAAAGCACUUUAAGUUGGGAGGAAGGGCAGUAAGUUAAUACCCUGCUGUUUUGACGUUACCAACAGAAUAAGCACCGGCUAACUUCGUG
rnacentral:rRNA from 1 species